rnacentral:rRNA from 1 species
GGCUCACCAAGGCGACGAUCCCUAGCUGGUCUGAGAGGAUGAUCAGCCACACUGGAACUGAGACACGGUCCAGACUCCUACGGGAGGCAGCAGUGGGGAAUAUUGCACAAUGGGCGCAAGCCUGAUGCAGCCAUGCCGCGUGUGUGAAGAAGGCCUUCGGGUUGUAAAGCACUUUCAGUCGUGAGGAAGGUAGUGUAGUUAAUAGCUGCAUUAUUUGACGUUAGCGACAGAAGAAGCACCGGCUAACUCCGUGCCAGCAGCCGCGGUAAUACGGAGGGUGCGAGCGUUAAUCGGAAUUACUGGGCGUAAAGCGCAUGCAGGUGGUUUGUUAAGUCAGAUGUGAAAGCCCGGGGCUCAACCUCGGAAUUGCAUUUGAAACUGGCAGACUAGAGUACUGUAGAGGGGGGUAGAAUUUCAGGUGUAGCGGUGAAAUGCGUAGAGAUCUGAAGGAAUACCGGUGGCGAAGGCGGCCCCCUGGACAGAUACUGACACUCAGAUGCGAAAGCGUGGGGAGCAAACAGGAUUAGAUACCCUGGUAGUCCACGCCGUAAACGAUGUCUACUUGGAGGUUGUGGCCUUGAGCCGUGGCUUUCGGAGCUAACGCGUUAAGUAGACCGCCUGGGGAGUACGGUCGCAAGAUUAAAACUCAAAUGAAUUGACGGGGGCCCGCACAAGCGGUGGAGCAUGUGGUUUAAUUCGAUGCAACGCGAAGAACCUUACCUACUCUUGACAUCCAGAGAACUUUCCAGAGAUGGAUUGGUGCCUUCGGGAACUCUGAGACAGGUGCUGCAUGGCUGUCGUCAGCUCGUGUUGUGAAAUGUUGGGUUAAGUCCCGCAACGAGCGCAACCCUUAUCCUUGUUUGCCAGCGAGUAAUGUCGGGAACUCCAGGGAGACUGCCGGUGAUAAACCGGAGGAAGGUGGGGACGACGUCAAGUCAUCAUGGCCCUUACGAGUAGGGCUACACACGUGCUACAAUGGCGCAUACAGAGGGCGGCCAACUUGCGAAAGUGAGCGAAUCCCAAAAAGUGCGUCGUAGUCCGGAUUGGAGUCUGCAACUCGACUCCAUGAAGUCGGAAUCGCUAGUAAUCGUGGAUCAGAAUGCCACGGUGAAUACGUUCCCGGGCCUUGUACACACCGCCCGUCACACCAUGGGAGUGGGCUGCAAAAGAAGUAGGUAGUUUAACCUUCGGGGGGACGCUUACCACUUUGUGGUUCAUGACUGGGGUGAAGUCGUAACAAGGUAGCGCUAGGGGAACCUGGCGCUGGAUCACCUCCUUAAACGAUGAU